UCAGGAUGAACGCUGGCGGCGUGCCUAAUACAUGCAAGUCGAGCGAGAACCUUAUGAUCGAAGAUCGUCUGAUUGAUAAGGGGAAAGCGGCGGACGGGUGAGUAACGCGUAGGCAACCUGCCCUUAGCAGAGGGAUAGCCAUUGGAAACGAUGAUUAAAACCUCAUAAUGCUGUUUUGACACAUGUUGAAACAGCCAAAGAUUUAUCGGCUAAGGAUGGGCCUGCGUCUGAUUAACUGGUUGGUGAGGUAACGGCUCACCAAGGUAACGAUCAGUAGCCGACCUGAGAGGGUGAUCGGCCACAUUGGAACUGAGACACGGUCCAAACUUCUACGGAAGGCAGCAGUAAGGAAUCUUGCACAAUGGGGGAAACCCUGAAUGCAGCAACGCCGCGUGAACGAUGAAGGCCUUCGGGUUGUAAAGUUCUGAUCUGUGGGAAGAAGAAAGUGACGGUACCACAGGAGAAAGCCCCGGCUAAAUACGUGCCAGCCGCCGC
rnacentral:rRNA from 1 species